CAGGCCUAACACAUGCAAGUCGAGCGGAUGAGUGGAGCUUGCUCCAUGAUUCAGCGGCGGACGGGUGAGUAAUGCCUAGGAAUCUGCCUAUUAGUGGGGGACAACGUCUCGAAAGGGACGCUAAUACCGCAUACGUCCUACGGGAGAAAGCAGGGGACCUUCGGGCCUUGCGCUAAUAGAUGAGCCUAGGUCGGAUUAGCUAGUUGGUGAGGUAAUGGCUCACCAAGGCGACGAUCCGUAACUGGUCUGAGAGGAUGAUCAGUCACACUGGAACUGAGACACGGUCCAGACUCCUACGGGAGGCAGCAGUGGGGAAUAUUGGACAAUGGGCGAAAGCCUGAUCCAGCCAUGCCGCGUGUGUGAAGAAGGUCUUCGGAUUGUAAAGCACUUUAAGUUGGGAGGAAGGGCAGUAAGUUAAUACCUUGCUGUUUUGACGUUACCGACAGAAUAAGCACCGGCUAACUCUGUGCCAGCAGCCGCGGUAAU
rnacentral:rRNA from 1 species